UACAGAGGGUGCGAGCGUUAAUCGGAAUUACUGGGCGUAAAGCGUGCGUAGACGGUUAUUUAAGUCGGGUGUGAAAGCCCCGGGCUCAACCUGGGAAUUGCGUUGGAGACUGCAAGGCUUGAAUCUGGCCGAGGGGGGUAGAAUUCCACGUGUAGCAGUGAAAUGCGUAGAGAUGUGGAGGAACACCGAUGGCGAAGGCAGCCCCCUGGGUCAAGAUUGACGCUCAUGCACGAAAGCGUGGGGAGCAAACAGG
rnacentral:rRNA from 1 species